GAUGAACGCUAGCUACAGGCUUAACACAUGCAAGUCGAGGGGUAACGAGAGGAAAGCUUGCUUUCCUUGUCGACGACCGGCGCACGGGUGAGUAACGCGUAUCCAACCUGCCCCCAACUAGGGAAUAACCUUGCGAAAGUAAGACUAAUACCCUAUAAUUUCCUCAGAUGUCAUCUGACGAGGAAUAAAGAUUUAUCGGUUGUGGAUGGGGAUGCGUCUGAUUAGCUUGUUGGCGGGGUAACGGCCCACCAAGGCAACGAUCAGUAGGGGUUCUGAGAGGAAGGUCCCCCACAUUGGAACUGAGACCCGGGCCAAACUCCUACGGGAGGCAGCAGUGAGGAAUAUUGGUCAAUGGGCGGAAGCCUGAACCAGCCAAGUAGCGUGCAGGAUGACGGCCCUAUGGGUUGUAAACUGCUUUUAUACAGGAAUAAAGUUAGCCACGUGUGGUUAUUUGUAGGUACUGUAUGAAUAAGGACCGGCUAAUUCCGUGCCAGCCGCCGCAGUAA
rnacentral:rRNA from 1 species